GAUGAACGCUGGCGGCGUGCCUAAUACAUGCAAGUCGAGCGAACGGACGAGAAGCUUGCUUCUCUGAUGUUAGCGGCGGACGGGUGAGUAACACGUGGAUAACCUACCUAUAAGACUGGGAUAACUUCGGGAAACCGGAGCUAAUACCGGAUAAUAUUUUGAACCGCAUGGUUCAAAAGUGAAAGACGGUUUUCCUGUCACUUAUAGAUGGAUCCGCGCUGCAUUAGCUAGUUGGUAAGGUAACGGCUUACCAAGGCAACGAUGCAUAGCCGACCUGAGAGGGUGAUCAGCCACACUGGAACUGAGACACGGUCCAGACUCCUACGGGAGGCAGCAGUAGGGAAUAUUGCGCAAUGGGCGAAAGCCUGACGGAGCAACGCCGCGUGAGUGAUGAAGGUCUUCGGAUCGUAAAACUCUGUUAUUAGGGAAGAAAAUAUGUGUAAGUAACUGUGCACAUCUUGACGGUACCUAAUCAGAAAGCCACGGCUAACUACGUG
rnacentral:rRNA from 1 species